GACGAACGUUGGCGGCGUGCUUAAUACACGCAAGUCAACUGAAGCAGUGGUAGCAAUAUCGCUGUGGAGGUGGCGCACGGGUGAGUAACACGUAGGUAAUCUGCCUUCAGGUCUGGCAUAACUCCGGGAAACCGGGGCUAAUAGCAGAUGAUGCAGCGGCUCGACAUCGAGACAGUUGUUAAAGCUAUGGCGCCUGAAGAUGAGCCUGCGUCUGAUUAGCUAGUUGGCGGGGUAACGGCCCACCAAGGCAACGAUCAGUAGCUGGUCUGAGAGGAUGAUCAGCCACACUGGAACUGAGACACGGUCCAGACUCCUACGGGAGGCAGCAGUAAGGAAUAUUGCUCAAUGGGAGAAAUCCUGAAGCAGCAACGCCGCGUGAGGGACGAAGGGCUUUUGCUUGUAAACCUCUGUAGUGAGAGAAAAAAAUCCCAAUCUUUGGGACAUGAUGGUAUCUCAAAAGUAAGCCCCGGCUAACUACGUG
rnacentral:rRNA from 1 species